rnacentral:rRNA from 1 species
GAUGAACGCUGGCGGCGUGCCUAAUACAUGCAAGUCGAGCGAACGGACGAGAAGCUUGCUUCUCUGAUGUUAGCGGCGGACGGGUGAGUAACACGUGGAUAACCUACCUAUAAGACUGGGAUAACUUCGGGAAACCGGAGCUAAUACCGGAUGAUAUUUUGAACCGCAUGGUUCAAAAGUGAAAGACGGUCUUGCUGUCACUUAUAGAUGGAUCCGCGCUGCAUUAGCUAGUUGGUAAGGUAACGGCUUACCAAGGCAACGAUGCAUAGCCGACCUGAGAGGGUGAUCGGCCACACUGGAACUGAGACACGGUCCAGACUCCUACGGGAGGCAGCAGUAGGGAAUCUUCCGCAAUGGGCGAAAGCCUGACGGAGCAACGCCGCGUGAGUGAUGAAGGUCUUCGGAUCGUAAAACUCUGUUAUUAGGGAAGAACAUAUGUGUAAGUAACUGUGCACAUCUUGACGGUACCUAAUCAGAAAGCCACGGCUAACUACGUGCCAGCAGCCGCGGUAAUACGUAGGUGGCAAGCGUUAUCCGGAAUUAUUGGGCGUAAAGCGCGCGUAGGCGGUUUUUUAAGUCUGAUGUGAAAGCCCACGGCUCAACCGUGGAGGGUCAUUGGAAACUGGAAAACUUGAGUGCCGAAGAGGAAAGUGGAAUUCCAUGUGUAGCGGUGAAAUGCGCAGAGAUAUGGAGGAACACCAGUGGCGAAGGCGACUUUCUGGUCUGUAACUGACGCUGAUGUGCGAAAGCGUGGGGAUCAAACAGGAUUAGAUACCCUGGUAGUCCACGCCGUAAACGAUGAGUGCUAAGUGUUAGGGGGUUUCCGCCCCUUAGUGCUGCAGCUAACGCAUUAAGCACUCCGCCUGGGGAGUACGACCGCAAGGUUGAAACUCAAAGGAAUUGACGGGGACCCGCACAAGCGGUGGAGCAUGCGGUUUAAUUCGAAGCAACGCGAAGAACCUUACCAAAUCUUGACAUCCUUUGACAACUCUAGAGAUAGAGCCUUCCCCUUCGGGGGACAAAGUGACAGGUGGUGCAUGGUUGUCGUCAGCUCGUGUCGUGAGAUGUUGGGUUAAGUCCCGCAACGAGCGCAACCCUUAAGCUUAGUUGCCAUCAUUAAGUUGGGCACUCUAAGUUGACUGCCGGUGACAAACCGGAGGAAGGUGGGGAUGACGUCAAAUCAUCAUGCCCCUUAUGAUUUGGGCUACACACGUGCUACAAUGGACAAUACAAAGGGCAGCGAAACCGCGAGGUCAAGCAAAUCCCAUAAAGUUGUUCUCAGUUCGGAUUGUAGUCUGCAACUCGACUACAUGAAGCUGGAAUCGCUAGUAAUCGUAGAUCGGCAUGCUACGGUGAAUACGUUCCCGGGUCU